rnacentral:rRNA from 1 species
GUAACGCUGGCGGCAUGCUUACACAUGCCAGUUAAACGGGUUUAAGUUUAUUACCCUUAAACAAGUAGCGGACGGGUGAGUAACGCGUAAGAACCUACCUUUAGUAAGGAAUAACUAUUGGAAACGAUAGAUAAUACCUUAUAAGCUUAUAGUAAAAGAUAAAAUCGCCUAAGGAUGGGCUUGCGUCUGAUUAGCUUGUUGGUGAUUUAAAAGAUUCACCAAGGCAACGAUCAGUAGUUGGUCUAAGAGGAUGAUCAACCACACUGGGACUGAGACACGGCCCAGACCUCUACGGAGGGCAGCAGUGAGGAAUUUUCCGCAAUGGGCGAAAGCCUGACGGAGCAAUGCCGCGUGGAGGAUGAAAGCUUGUGAGUCGUAAACUCCUCUUUCUUAGUGAAGAAAUAAGACGGUAUCUAAGGAAUAAGCAUCGGCUAACUCCGUGCCAGCAGCCGCGGUAAUACGGAGGAUGCAAGCGUUAUUCGGAAUUAUUGGGCGUAAAGCGUCUGUAGGUCGGUCUUAUCUUACAGUCUACUGUUAAAUAUUCAACGGCUUAACCUUUAAAAAAGCGGUAAUGAAACUAAAACAAACUUGCAAGUUUACGUCGAGGUAGAGCGGAAUUCUCGCGUGUAGAUGGUGAAAUGCGUAGAGAUCGACAGAAGAACACCGGUUAGCGAAAGCGCUCUACUGGGCUAAAACUUGACACUUGAGGAGACGCACAGCUACGGGAGCA